CAGUGCUGAAGUUUAAUGUUUAAGGCAUGGCAGAAGUUGAUUGAAAUUAGAUUUUGAAUGAUCUGAUUUGUGGACUAAUAGUUUUGAGCAUUCUUUGGUGGUUUCUUCAUUUCAUCAACUAAAUCAUCUCUAGAUGUUCUUUUGAUUCAGUCAAAUCAAAUUACUUUAUUAUUAAUUGUUUGAGUGCUUGCUCCUGAUUAUUGUAUUAUUCUUUACAGGUUGAAGGCCAAACAGAGGAAGUUAUUUUUGACCAUUUGCAUGCAACUGCUUUCCAGCACACGCCUUUAGGCAGAACCAUUCUUGGUCCUGCUCAAAAUGUCAGGACAAUCACCAAAGAUCAUCUUCAAAAGUAUAUAUCGACACACUAUACUACAUCCAGAAUGGUAGGUGGUGUCAUAAAGUUAUGAGCAUUUUGUCUGUUCAUAAUUUAUUGCUAGUUCUAUUUAGUUGUUAACAUGUUGGCUUCACCUUCAUUCAUCUAUCAAUUAUUCAAUGCCGUCAAUUUUAUUUCUUCACUCUUAUUUUUGUUCUUAAAAGGAUUGUUCUGCCAAUUAAUUUCAUGAUGAUGUGUGCCUUCAAAGCAUGGACAAAUGGAACCCUGGAUUGCUUCUGGUUCUGUAUCUGUUGUAAACUUUUUAUAUAUAUUAUUGAUCGGCUUUGUAAACUUUGUGUAUUAUCUGGAUGGUGAACAAUAAAAAUAAAAAUCUCUGUUUGACACCACUUAGAAUAAGCUUUAGGAAAAGGUGCAUAAUUCAAGUCUCAGUUGGGAAAUAAUACUAGUUGUAAAAGUAAGUGUGGAUGAUUUACCUGGAAGAUAGUAGUCUGAUUGGCAACUCGUAUAACAUCUCGCAUUCUUACACAGAUUUUAUCAACAUGGGAGUAUGUUUUUAGUGUCCAAUUUUCUCUAAACUUUGGAGUGUAUACUUUUAAUUAUAUGCUCAUAAUUACAUAUUACCUAUAAAUAAAAAAAAGAUUCACGAUUAUAGAGAUAGUGUUGCAUUCAUCACCAUUGGAUUGCCUUGUUCUGCGUAGAGUAAUAAACUUAGUUUAGUAGUGUCCCAGGGGUGGAUUUCCGUCUGCAGUAACUGUUUUGCACAUAUAUAGAGCUCAUAACGGCCAUAAUGUAGUUGUGAAAAUCUCAUGCAAAUGUAUAGCUUUGGAUAAGCUUUGUUUGCUCUUUUCUUAUUAGUAUUGUUAUUAUAUGAUGCAGCUGACAGGAAUGAAGAAAACAAGCAAGUCAAUCCUAAUGAGCCAUUACCAAAUCCACUUUUUGAUUGUAGUAUUGCUAUUAGUAUUGUUAUUAUAUGAUGCAGCUGAAGAUUGUAGUAUUGCUAUUAGUAUUGUUAUUGCUAUUAGUAUUGCUAUUAGAAGGAAGAUUGUAGUAUUGCUAUUAGUAUUGUUAUUAUAUGAUGCAGCUGAAGCAAAGUUUCCACUUUUUGAUGUUGAGAAUCAUGUUGCAGAUCAUGGAUAUGGUCCAAAGAGGAGAGAAGCCUCCUAACAUCAGCGAGAUAAAUGAUCUACCACCCAAUCCUAAUGAGCCAUUACCAAAUCCACACUCUGCACCAAGAGCUAAGGUUUGUUUUUGAGUGUUUCAUUCUAUUACAAUUUCCAUUUUUAGUUUUUCCUGCAAUUAUUUCAGAGUUGCACAGACCAUUUAGUGUGGGAGUUUUUUUAUUUUUUAUUUUUAUGAAUAUAGGUUUUUGAAUAAGUAUAUUUUUUUAAAAUUUUUUAUUCUUUGAAUACUACAAUCUUCCUUUCACCAAGCCCAGGCCACUCCACUGUCUUCAAUGCCCAUCACUGUAAGUCUGUAAUAGGCAAUCACACUCUAUGAAUCUGAAUUAUUGAUAACUAUAGCUCAACUAAUAAGUUGAUUGUCAAAAUCUUAGCUGAUCUAGUUAUUUAUUGAUAUCUAAUUUGGCUUGGAAGUGUGCCACCAAGUUGUGUGUUAUUUUUCUGAAUCAGGAGGCGGAGCGGAUGCUAAUGGUGGGAGACUGGGGAUGCACACAAGUGGGAUUCAAGAAGUACAAGAGGAGUAUUAAUGAAGAGAACUGAAGAGGGAUUAAUAUAAGGUAUUCAAAAAGGUAUACAGGUGGAUCUUCCUCAGGCCCAGCAGCAAUUGUAGCUUCUGGGCUUUGUUCAGCUGCACUAGGAACAGAUGGUGGAGGUUCAGUUCGUAUUCCUUCUUCCCUUUGUGGUGUAGUGGGCUUGAAAACAACAUAUGGUCGGACUGACAUGAAAGGGUAAAAUCUUGGAAUUAUAUGAUGUCCAGUGUCUUACAUUACCAUUGUCCAUUUUACUGUACGGUUCUCUGCAUAAUGAAGUCACAUUAACUGAUAAAAAGAAGCAUAAUGCUUGCGUCUGUCAGCCAAUCUUCUGCGUGUUUUAGGGGAGGUUUAUUGAUUAGUAUAUUUACAGACACCCACACACACACACACAUAUAUAUGCAUGCAAAUAUCUUUGUACAUUUUUUUCUUUUAUGUGAUAGAGGGCUUGCUUCA